UACGUAGGUGGCAAGCGUUGUCCGGAUUUACUGGGCGUAAAGAGCGCGCAGGCGGUCGUUCAAGUCGCGUGUGAAAGCCCCCGGCUCAACUGGGGAGGGUCACGCGAUACUGAUCGACUCGAAGGCAGGAGAGGGAAGUGGAAUUCCCGGUGUAGUGGUGAAAUGCGUAGAUAUCGGGAGGAACACCAAUGGCGAAGGCGACUUCCUGGCCUGUUCUUGACGCUGAGGCGCGAAAGCUAGGGGAGCAAACGGG
rnacentral:rRNA from 1 species